AUCUGCUCUACCGUUGGAGAGGAGCAAGAGCCACAAAAGGACGGAAAAGUUAGAGGGAGUGCAGCCAUUAAAGUGACAGGCUUCAUUUGGAAUUUGGACUCUGGAGCUCUGGAGCAGAACAGGAGCGGGCAGAAACAACGAGCAGCUGGGUGGAACACAUCGGAGAACAGAACAGAUAAGGGACCACCCUCCUUUCCCAUCUUCCUUCUUCCCCAUCUCCUUCCCUCCCUAUCUUCUUUGCUCAUGCGUCCAAUCUUUAAUUUCCUUCCUUCCGUUACUCCCUUCCACUCUCCCUCCCUUCCUCCAUUUCUCCUUUCUUCCCAAUGUUCCUCCAUCCCUUCUUCUUUCUUAUCUCCCUCCCUCCUUGUUUUACUUGCUCCCUAUCUUCCUAUCUUGCUACUGAUCUUCCUCUCCUUCACCCUCCCUGUCUUCCUCUACUGUCUCCAGUCUCACUUAUUUGAUUGUUUCCAGGCUCUUUUCUCAUGUCCUUUUCUUUUUCUCCAGUCUCCCUUUGUUUUCCUCCAGGUUCU